CCUACGGGGGGCUGCAGUAGGGAAUAUUGCACAAUGGGGGAAACCCUGAUGCAGCAACGCCGCGUGGGGGAUGAAGGUUUUCGGAUUGUAAACUCCUUUUAGUAGAGAAGAUAAUGACGGUAUCUGACUAAUAAGCACCGGCUAACUCCGUGCCAGCAGCCGCGGUAAUACGGAGGGGGCAAGCGUUACUCGGAAUCACUGGGCGUAAAGAGCGCGUAGGCGGGAUCGCAAGUCUGAUGUGAAAUCCUAUGGCUUAACCAUAGAACUGCAUUUGAAACUGUUAUUCUAGAGUAUGGGAGAGGUAGGUGGAAUUCUUGGUGUAGGGGUAAAAUGCGUAGAGAUCAAGAGGAACACUCAUGGCGAAGGCGACCUGCUAGACCAUAACUGACGUUGAUGCGCGAAAGCGUGGGGAGCAAACAGGAUUAGAUACCCCGGUAGUC
rnacentral:rRNA from 1 species